rnacentral:rRNA from 1 species
CGUGCCUAACACAUGCAAGUCGUACGAGAAAGCCGGCUUCGGCUGGUGAGUAAAGUGGCGCACGGGUGAGUAACGCGUGGAUAAUCUGCCCUUAAGUGUGGAAUAACGUACCGAAAGGUGCGCUAAUACCGCAUAAUGCCUGGCAACACAAGUUGUCCGGCCAAAGAAGGCCUCUGUUUACAAGCUUUCGCUUCAGGAUGAGUCCGCGUGCCAUUAGCUUGUUGGUGGGGUAAUGGCCUACCAAGGCUGCGAUGGUUAGCUGGUCUGAGAGGAUGAUCAGCCACACUGGAACUGAGACACGGUCCAGACUCCUACGGGAGGCAGCAGUGAGGAAUAUUGCGCAAUGGGGGCAACCCUGACGCAGCAACGCCGCGUGAGUGAGGAAGGUUUUCGGACUGUAAAGCUCUGUCGAGCGGGAAGAAGUGUACCAUGGCUAAUAUCCAUGAUAUUUGACGGUACCGCUAGAGGAAGCACCGGCUAACUCCGUG